UAAACUAGGAUUAGAUACCCUAUUAUUUUAAGCGUAAAUAAUUUACUUAGGUAUUAGUAGUUUUGUUCUUUAAACCUAAAGAAUUUGGCGGUGUUUUAUUCUAUUCAGAGGAAUUUGUCCCGUUAUCGAUAGUCCCCGUUUUAUCUUACUUUAAUUAUUAGUAUGUAUACCGCCGUUAUGAGUUUAUUUUUUUAGGAUUAUUUACUUUUUAUUUUAUUUUGUUGUAUUUCAGGCAAGGGUGCAG
rnacentral:rRNA from 1 species